UCUGUUUAUUCCAACAAAGUUUUAGCCUCGGAAUUUCUAACUCACAGCAACAAGUUACAAGUUAGCGGUUAUCUUCCACUGUCUUUGCCGCCCUCUUAUGAAUGGUAACAUAAUUAUGUGUGGAGUUUGCAUGUUCUCCACGUGUUCACAAGGGGUUUCCUCCACUAAGAACCCCAACAGAAAAACAUGCAAAAAGAACAGAACACUCUCCUGUCCGUCCUGACCAAGACAGACGGUUCACUUGGUCCCCGGGCGCUGAAAAGCUGCCCACUGCUCCUGGGGUCCUGGAGGAAGGACAGUCCGGGAUGGGUUAAAGGCAGAGAUUACAUUCACAGUGACCUGAGGCCUGCGUGUGUGUGUGUGUCCUGUGUCUUCUCCAUAACCACGUGUGUGUCGCUUGUGCAAUAAAAAAACUGACGUGAGUCAGCCUUGUUUGUUUGUUUGUUAAAAAAAAAAAUGUAUCCCUUAUAGGACUACAUAAUUAACAUACUAAAAAAUGGCAUAAACGAUUACCUUCAGGUCUGGGGAGGAAGUUCUGUGUUAGGUGUAAAGAAUAAGGAGAGGGGGUGGGUAUGUCCUAGUUCAAGGUGUGAGGUAGGGGCAUGUAAGGAAAGGGGUAUAGGGGUGUGUGAAUGCCAGGCAGGUGGGGGUCUAGCUUGACCAUGGCAAUCAAAAUGCUAAUAUGCCUGGCUCCAAACAUCUUGUUGUGGCUGUAGACAAAAGCCAACAAUUAAGUCUAAUGUUAUCUGAGACUACAUGAGGGGAUCCAUUUAUAUGGCUUGUACGUGAAACCUACCAAUAUCUAAACAUGGCUGUAAUUUGUGGCACUUUCACAUAAUGGCUUACAUCUAAAUACAUGUGGAAAGAUUUCAUGCAGAGUGAAUUAUGUAAUGACAUGACAUUUGGUGAUGGUGGUGGGGGGGGGGUCAUCUUUUUAAUCAGGGUGUACACCAAACCUAGACAGUAUAAUAUCAUUCAAAAUGAGUUGACCGCCCCAGACUGUUACUUUGUGUUAAAGUGUUAAAUAGUCAUUUGUAAACAUAGUAAUGGUUUCAGGGUGUUACAGUGUAAACAGAAAUAAACAACAACAUGAUUAAUUGCACUGAGAUAGGAUAAGGCCACUUUUGGAUACUGAAGGCCUUACAUAGGCAUUUAGAGCACGUUUGGGACUGAAAAUGUCUUUUCAUUAUCCACCAUUAUAAAGUUACAACAAAGUGAGAUAAAAUCGCAUACAUAAAAAGACACAAAAAAACACCAAGGCUUGUGAAUGAGAUUGGACCUGAUCAGGCAGUAAGAACAUUACAAUCCUGUGUGAUAAAUAUGUAAAAUAACACAGACUUGCAUUGCUACCAAUUCUAGCAAGCUAAGAAAAGGAUACAUGAAAUGGCCUACUUACAUGAGAUAGGGACAUAAGACACUAGCAGACACGAACAGACUCACAGACAUUAGACACAGAGUAACAGGUCAAAGAAAGAAGGUGGCCCUUUGGAUGGCGUGAGAGUCUGUGGUAUUGACAGAUCCACUCCAGCACUGCAGCAGAACAGGCCCAGUGCAAAUGAGGUAGUGCGCGUUGUCUUUGAGCGUGAAACUACCAAAUCACAGCGUACCAGUCAGUAGGACGCAACACAAGUCACAGUGCACUGCGUGUGAAAAUGCUCCAUCGAUCCCGAGUUGUCAACGGAACGCAUCGGUCUAGAAGUUGAGAUUGUUUGAGGUGAAGGUGCAGCUGUCGGUGGCGCUGUCCAUGCAGAGAGGAGAGCUGGAGAGAAAGUCAUCCUGGCCACUACCCCAGGCUCUCGACUGGUACUGCGGCCCAGGGUCGGGGGGUGCAGAAGGGGCGGUGGGAGCACCACGAUCACCUCCUCCUCCUCCAUCAGGAGCCUGUAAGGGGACAGAGAGAUCAGGGUGGAUUCACCCGGAUGUGGUGCUUGCCCUAUUUACCUUUUUUGCAGUGCCUUGAGAACAUACUUAAAAUGAACACUUUCUCAUAUAAGAUCACACUUGGUGUCUGCAGAUUUUAUCUCUCAAAAAAAGUUAAUGAUUUAUUCUUAUGAUGCUUGUUUUGUGCCCAGACAACAGUACACACCUCAGGAGGAGCAGUGGGAGCUGCUGAACUGUACGGACUGGGAACACACUCAGGGACGCUGGGAACACACUUAGGGACGCUGGGAACACACUCAGGGACGCUGGGAACACACUCAGGGACGCUGGGAACCCACUCAGGGACGCGUGGCUGAAAAACAAUAUAAACUCAAUCAUCCCGGGAAGAAACAAAUAGAUACAUAGAAAGAGAGAUCUACAAACAAACAAAGGUAAGCGUUACUCCACUGUCAAGACACGGCAGCAAAAAGACGGAAAGCGAGAAUGUGAAAUGGGGAGGUUGCCUCUGAACACAGAGCCCUAUAAUGUGCUCACAUAUCAGUUUAUACUCUCUCUCCUCUCUCGUGUAAUCUAGCUCCAUAACACUAUUAGCAAGGUGAUACACGGGUACCUGUAAAUGUAAUAGAUAGAAUGACUGAACGGAAAGCUAUAUUAAAGAGAGGUCUAGAGACCACUGUACUAGGGGACAUGAAUUUUCAUGUUAAUGUGUCAUUUAUGAGCUUACUACAGACGAGAGUACAAACCUCCACGGGGACCACUAUGCUGUGUGGCCUUGACGCUGGGUCAGGAAAGUAAGGCUGAAAUCACAAAACACAUUCAAUCAGGAGCAAACCAACACACAUGAUCUAUAAAUAUGAAAGGUAAACAUUAUUCCACUGUCGAGACAUAAAUGAACUGAACCUGAGGCUAAAUGAACUGAGAGAGUAUGACAUAGGGCGGUAGUCUUGUGGAUGCAGAUGAUUAUACACGUCUACAGACAUCUGGAUGAGUCUUUGGCUUCUAAAGCAAUUUGUCGGUCAGAUUCAGGCAGGCUGUGAUACAUGAUGCCUUCAUGAAAAAUCAGAUUUCGCCUUCAAAUUAUGCCUCCCUGGAAUUUUGAUACAUGAAUGUAUGGGACAGAGACUCCUGAAAAACAUCACCAUCCGGGCUAGCUCAGGAAGCUGCCACCAGGUGACGCCUCAAAACAGUAUUUUUGGGGUUUUAUUAGGGUGACUGCCUACGUGCGCCCUAAUCAAGCCUUGUUUAUUAUACAUACAGUAUGUGGACAUAUUUGGACCUCCUCAACUGAAAACAUUUGCCAGUCACUUUGGAUUUGAAAAAUAUAAUGAAAAUAUAAAAAAAAUAAAACUGAAUUGAAUUGAAUUUACCAAAAGAACAAAUAUUAAUGUAAAUCUCAGUGAAAUGACUGAUUUGUAGCAAUGUGGUUGAUGAUGCUGAUGAUGAUGAGAAGGUUGAAGACAGAGACAGAUUGGUCAUAAAUGUGAGCAGCAGAUCCGAAGAGACGUGUGUGUGUGUGUGUGUGUGUGUGUGUGUGUGUGUGUGUGUUUGUUGUGUGUGUGUGUGUGUGUGUGUGUGUGUGUGUGCUGAUGGCUGGACUAGAGAUCCAAAGAGAUGUGUGUAUGUGUGUGCGUGUGCGCUGAUGACUUACAGGUGGACUGUUCUCCCAGGGGUUGGGGGGGUAC
ensembl:lncRNA